rnacentral:rRNA from 1 species
UACGGAGGAGGCAAGCGUUAUCCGGAAUUACUGGGCGUAAAGAGUUGCGUAGGUGGCAUAGUAAGUCGGUAGUGAAAGCGUGGGGCUCAACCUCAUACACAUUAUCGAAACUGCUGAGCUAGAGGAUGAGAGAGGUUAUUGGAAUUCCCAGUGUAGGAGUGAAAUCCGUAGAUAUUGGGAGGAACACCGAUGGCGUAGGCAGAUAACUGGCUCAUUCCUGACACUAAGGCACGAAAGCGUGGGGAGCAAACGGG